rnacentral:rRNA from 1 species
CGAAACUAACAGAUUUACUUCGGUAAUGACGUUAGGAAAGCGAGCGGCGGAUGGGUGAGUAACACGUGGGGAACCUGCCCCAUAGUCUGGGAUACCACUUGGAAACAGGUGCUAAUACCGGAUAAGAAAGCAGAUCGCAUGAUCAGCUUUUAAAAGGCGGCGUUAGCUGUCGCUAUGGGAUGGCCCCGCGGUGCAUUAGCUAGUUGGUAAGGUAAAGGCUUACCAAGGCGAUGAUGCAUAGCCGAGUUGAGAGACUGAUCGGCCACAUUGGGACUGAGACACGGCCCAAACUCCUACGGGAGGCAGCAGUAGGGAAUCUUCCACAAUGGACGCAAGUCUGAUGGAGCAACGCCGCGUGAGUGAAGAAGGUUUUCGGAUCGUAAAGCUCUGUUGUUGGUGAA